UACGUAGGGUGCAAGCGUUGUCCGGAAUUAUUGGGCGUAAAGAGCUCGUAGGCGGUCUGUCGCGUCUGCUGUGAAAACUCAGGGCUUAACCCUGAGCUUGCAGUGGGUACGGGCAGACUAGAGUGCGGUAGGGGAGACUGGAAUUCCUGGUGUAGCGGUGAAAUGCGCAGAUAUCAGGAGGAACACCGGUGGCGAAGGCGGUUCUCUGGGCCUGUACUGACGCUGAGGAACGAAAGCGUGGGGAGCGAACAGG
rnacentral:rRNA from 1 species